AGUUAAAAAGCUCGUAGUUGGAUCUCGGGCGUCGGCCGGUGGUCCACCCUCACCGGGUGGUACUGCCGCGCUCCGGGCCUACCAUCUGAUCGCGGCCGGUUUGUGCUCUUGGUUGAGUGCCCGGUCUGGUCGGAACGUUUACUUUGAAAAAAUUAGAGUGUUCAAAGCAGGCUCGACGGCCUGAAUAAUGGUGCAUGGAAUAAUGGAAUAGGACCUCGGUUCUAUUUUGUUGGUUUUCGGAACUGGAGGUAAUGAUUAAGAGGGACAGACGGGGGCAUUCGUAUUACGGUGUUAGAGGUGAAAUUCUUGGAUCGCCGUAAGACGAACUACUGCGAAAGCAUUUGCCAAGAAUGUUUUCAUUAGUCAAGAACGAAAGUCAGAGGUUCGAAGACGAUCAGAUACCGUCGUAGUUCUGACCAUAAACGAUGCCAACUAGCGAUCUGCCGGUGUUGUUCUCUUGACUCGGCGGGCAGCUCCCGGGAAACCUUUGAGUGUGUGGGUUCCGGGGGAAGUAUGGUUGCAAAGCUGAAACUUAAAGGAAUUGACGGAAGGGCACCACCAGGAGUGGAGCCUGCGGCUUAAUUUGACUCAACACGGGGAAACUCACCCGGCCCGGACACCGUGAGGAUUGACAGAUCGAGAGCUCUUUCUUGAUUCGGUGGGUGGUGGUGCAUGGCCGUUCUUAGUUGGUGGAGCGAUUUGUCUGGUUAAUUCCGAUAACGAACGAGACUCUAGCCUAUUAACUAGUUCAACCGUACAUGCUGGCGGUUGUCAACUUCUUAGAGGGACA
rnacentral:rRNA from 1 species